CCUACGGGAUGCAGCAGUGGGGAAUAUUGCACAAUGGGGGAAACCCUGAUGCAGCGACGCCGCGUGAGUGAAGAAGGAAUUCGUUAUGUAAAGCUCUAUCAGCAGGGAAGAAAAUGACGGUAACUGAGUAAGAAGCCCCGGCUAACUACGGGCCAGCAGCCGAGGUAAUACGUAGGGGGAAAGCGGUAUCCGGAUUUACUGGGUGUAAAGGGGGGGUAGACGGCAGUGCAAGUCUUGAGGGAAAGGCGGGGGCUCAACCCCCGGAAUGCUCUGGAAACUGUACGGCUGGAGUGCAGGAGAGGUAAGUGGAAUUCCUAGUGUAGCGGUGAAAUGCGUAGAUAUUAGGAGGAACACCAGUGGCGAAGGCGGCUUACUGGACUGUAACUGACGUUGAGGCUCGAAAGCGUGGGGAGCAAACAGGAUUAGAUACCCCAGUAGUC
rnacentral:rRNA from 1 species